GUAUGUGGUCAGCCAUUACAAAAAAAAAAAAAAAAAAAAACUCACACACACACAAACAAAAACAAAAACAAAAAUAUUAAGAUAGGCAAUUCCAAAAAUCCGUCCUCAGUUCGGAUUGUAGGCUGUAACUCCCCUGUAUGAAGCCGGAAUCGCUAGUAAUCGCCGGUCAGUCAUACGGCGGUGAAUUCGUUCC
rnacentral:ncRNA from 1 species